rnacentral:antisense_RNA from 1 species
CUUCAACGAGCCCAGCCACAGGGGCCGGUCACCGGCGCGGUCGCGGCCGUAAGUGGCCAGCAGCGCCUGGGCCUC